rnacentral:tRNA from 1 species
GCUCCCAUCCUCUAAUUUGGCUAGGAGGCCAGCCUCUCACGCUGGCAAUGCCGGUUCGAGGCCGGCUGGGAGCCCCA